rnacentral:rRNA from 1 species
CAGUCGCCGCGGGAAAACGGAGGGUGCAAGCGUUAUCCGGAUUUAUUGGGUUUAAAGGGUCCGUAGGCGGAUCUGUAAGUCAGUGGUGAAAUCUCACAGCUUAACUGUGAAACUGCCAUUGAUACUGCAGGUCUUGAGUAAAUUUGAAGUGGCUGGAAUAAGUAGUGUAGCGGUGAAAUGCAUAGAUAUUACUUAGAACACCAAUUGCGAAGGCAGGUCACUAAGAUUUAACUGACGCUGAUGGACGAAAGCGUGGGGAGCGAACAGGAUUAGAUACCCCUGUAGUCCCUGUCUCUUAUAC